GGAAUAUUGGGCAAUGGGCGCAAGCCUGACCCAGCAAUGCCGCGUGAAGGAAGAAGGCCCUCGGGUUGUAAACUUCUUUUAUCAGGGACGAAGGAUGUGACGGUACCUGAUGAAUAAGCUCCGGCUAACUAUGUGCCAGCAGCCGCGGUAAUACGUAGGGAGCAAGCGUUAUCCGGAUUUACUGGGUGUAAAGGGCGCGUAGGCGGGAUGGCAAGUCAGAUGUGAAAUCCAGGGGCUCAACCCCUGGACUGCAUUUGAAACUGUCGUUCUUGAGUACUGGAGAGGUUGACGGAAUUCCUAGUGUAGCGGUGAAAUGCGUAGAUAUUAGGAGGAACACCAGUGGCGAAGGCGGUCAACUGGACAGCAACUGACGCUGAGGCGCGAAAGCGUGGGGAGCAAAC
rnacentral:rRNA from 1 species